rnacentral:misc_RNA from 1 species
GAUGAAGAACGCAGCGAAAUGCGAUACUUGGUGUGAAUUGCAGAAUCCCGUGAACCAUCGAGUCUUUGAACGCAAGUUGCGCCUCGAGCCAUUAGGUUGAGGGCACGUCUGCCUGGGCGUCACAUAUCGUUGCCUGAUGCCAGUUUCCUCGUGAUGGGUGACUGUGCAGGGCGAAUGAUGGCUUCCCGUGAGCAUUGUUGCCUCAUGGUUGGUUGAAAAUUGAGUCCUUGGUAGGGAGCGCCGUGAUAGAUGGUGGUUGAGUGACGAACGAGACCCAAUCAUGUGAGACCCCUACCGAAUUUGGCCUUCAUGACCCACAUGCGUCUUUGGAACGCUCAUGACGAGACCUCAGGUCAGGCGGGGCUACCCGCUGAGUUUAAGCAUAUCAAUAAGCGGAGGA